AAACUUUUAACAACGGAUCUCUUGGUUCUGGCAUCGAUGAAGAACGCAGCGAAAUGCGAUAAGUAAUGUGAAUUGCAGAAUUCAGUGAAUCAUCGAAUCUUUGAACGCACAUUGCGCCCCCUGGUAUUCCGGGGGGCAUGCGUGUGCGAGCGUCAUUU
rnacentral:rRNA from 1 species